rnacentral:misc_RNA from 1 species
AACUUUCGGCAAUGGAUCACUUGGUUCCGGCAUCGAUGAAGAACGCAGCGAAAUGCGAUAAGUAAUGUGAAUUGCAGAAUUCAGUGAAUCAUCGAGUCUUUGAACGCACAUUGCGCCCCCUGGUAUUCCGGGGGGCAUGCCUGUCCGAGCGUCAUUGCUGCCCUCAAGCACGGCUUGUGUGUUGGGCCCCCGCCCCCCGGUCCCGGGGGGCGGGCCCGAAAGGCAGCGGCGGCACCGCGUCCGGUCCUCGAGCGUAUGGGGCUUUGUCACCCGCUCUGUAGGCCCGGCCGGCGCCCGCCGGCGACCCCAAUCAAUCUUUUUCAGGUUGACCUCGGAUCAGGUAGGGAUACCCGCUGAACUUAAGCAUAUCAAUAAGCGGAGGCU